GGACCGGGCGACCCGUGGUGUUCUUGAGCAAAACACUUCAUUUCAUGUUGUUCCAGUCCACUCAGCUGGCAAAAAUGAGUAACACUGCGAUGGACAGGCGUUCUGUCCAGCUGGGGAAUACAUACGCUAUUGAACUGGGAAACUGGGCCUAUGAGCCUGACUAGGCUUUAAAAGGGCGAAUUUAUUUUAUUUUUUAAGCUUCUUGCUAUAGUUCUGCUAAUAUUUGAUUGGUAGACAUCAAGUUGCAUCUCAAAAGUUUAGGGUUGUAACACUUUCUGCUAUUAUUGUCCCUUUAAAUUACCUACAUCUGAUGCCCCUAUCAUUCAAGCUGCAGGACAAAUACCUUGAAAUAUUUUUGUUCUGGUUUGCUAUAUUCUUAAUUCAAAUACUGCUGGGGUGGUAAGGUCAAUUUUGCCUUUCAUCUCUCAGCGGGUCAAUAAAGUAUGCGUUAAGUAUUGGAGGGCCAAUGGCAUUGUCAAAUCUUGACAUCCCCCAAAACUGAUGGCCUUGUGCCUAUAUGAGAAACAAUUUUUAACAUUAUUAUUAUGAAGAAAAUGGCAAAUCAUCAAUGUACCUGACCAGAUUUUCAUCAGAGAUAGAUUUUAAUGCACCAGAAAUACUCUGGAAGAGAUGUAUAAGCAUACAUCAUAUUCUAUCACUUCUAACCCCUUUAACAUUCAGACUUCUCUGUCAAAUGCAAUACUUAUUUACUCUUUUACUCUUUUUACUCUUUCACUUGCUUCAGUCAUUUGACUGUGGCCAUGCUGGAGCACUGCCUUUAGUCGAGCAUAUCGACCCCCAGGACUUAUUCUUUGUAAGCCUAGUACUUAUUCUAUCGGUCUAUUUUGCCGAACCACUAAGUUACAGGGACGUAAACACACCAGCAUAAGAUGUCAAGCGAUGUUGUGGGGACAAACACAGACACACAAACACACACACACACACACACACACACACACACAUAUAUAUAUAGAUAUAUACGACAGGCUUCUUUCAGUUUCUGUCUACUACAUCCACUCACAAGGCGUUGAUCGGCCCAAGGCUAUAGUAGAAGACACUUGCACAAGGUGCCACACAGUGGGACUGAUCCCAGAACCAUGUGGUUGGUAAGCAAGCUACUUACCACACAGCCACUCCUGCGCCACCACACAGCCACUCCUGUUUUAAAUAUUCACACAUUAUCUUGUAGCUUUGAGAUUUUAGCUGUGAUUGCUUACCUUUAGAAUGACAGUGUAGGGCAAGUAUGAGAAGCCAGAUAUGGCUGAUAUAAAUGUGAAAGGGUUAAAUACAAAACCAUUUGCCAAACAAAGGACCAAAUAUCAUAAUCAUUAUCAAUGUGUUUAAUUUACAAUACCUUCCAUGGGCUGGAUAGGUUGGCAUUAACCAAAUCAGUUCAUAUCCAAAUUAUUAACCCUCCAGAUGGUUUGGAGGAUAAGGUUUCACUUGUAUAUUUCUCUUUUUGGCAAGGAUUCUGUGGCUGGAUGUAGUGUACUAGUUGGAAUAGUAUCUCUGUUUGAGAUAAUAUUCUACAGUCUCUGUAUACUUGAUUUGUUAAAAGAAUUCAUUUCUGGCAGAUCACUGAUCAAUGAAUGCCUUCUCAAUGGUUCUGAAAACUAUUGAAGUAGGCAGUAAUUUAUAAGCAGAACAAGUAGAAGAGACAUAGCAAGAAUUAACAAGGAUAUGUAUAGAAAGCAAGGCUUCUGUGCAAUUUCUUGAUCUCCUAGAAUUUACAGCCAAAUACCUUCAGACUACACCUUAUUACCAUGAAAAAAAAAAAAAAGAAUGUGAUAUUGAAAAUGUAGUGAUAGAUUAACAAAACUACGGGAAUAUUGUUAGAACACUAUGGAUCAUAUGACAAUUAGAUUAAAACUGAUCUGGUAUCAACAGCAAUAGUAUAAGGAGAAAUAAAUAUAGCAUCUAUGUAAUAUAUUCUUUUAUUCUUUUAUUUGUUUGUCAUUUGACUGUGGCCAUGCUGGAGCACCGCCUUUAGUCAAACAAAUCAACCCCAGGACUUAUUCUUUGUAAGCCUAGUACUUAUUCUAUCGGUCUCUUUUGCUGAACUGCUGAGUUACAGGGAUGUAAACGCACCACCAUCGGUUGUCAAGCGAUGUUGGUGGGACAAACACAGACACACAAACAUACACACACACACACACACACACACACACACACAUAGGACUGGCUUCUUUCAGUUUCUGCAUACCAAAUCCACUCACAAGGCUUUGGUCGGCCCGAGGCUAUAGUAGAAGACACUUGCCCAAGGUGCCACACAGUGGCACUGAACCCAGGACCAUGUAGUUGGUAAGCAGGCUACUUACCACACAGCCACUUGUCCAGCCCAUGCCAGCAUGGAAGACAGACAUUGAAUGAGGAUGAUAUCUCAUCUAAAUGAAACAAUAUGUUCAUAUGUAAUAUAUAUCCAUAUGUUAUAAACUAUUGCAAUGUAUUUAUAUAUGGUCAAUUUAUACAUUAUAAACUAUAUAUUCCCAUGUAGCAUAUAGCAAUUUAUCUAUAUUUUAGGAAAUGCUGCUGUGUAUCUAUAAUUAUAUAUGCUUUAUAAUGUUGUUGGAUAUUAUAGUGUAGCGUGUUUAUGUAACUACAUAUAUUACAAGAUAUUACUGUGUAUUACUGUUUAACAUAUAUAAUUUUUACACUUUAAUAUGAGCAUAUAUCAAUAUGACCUUGAGGAUCAAAAUAGGAAAUAAUUAUAAUACCACAAUUUUCCAUUUGUUAUUAUAUCAGCGUAUAUAAUUGGGCAAUUAUAACGUAAGCAAGUUUAUAUAAGAUCCUAAUUUUAAUCUAACAGAAACUCCAAAAUAAGUGUAUAUGAAAUAUUUAGAACAAAUAAAUGCACACAUACACACACAUCUAUAUAUGUAAUUUACUCUUCCACUGUUAGUGGCAUAAACAAAGUACUCCAUCCAGUGAGAGAUUAAUAUAGUUUAAUGUACACAAUAUCUAAAUUCAAUCUGCAGUUAGUUUCAUGCUGCAAAACACAAGAAACUUGCUAGUUUUUAUAUCUAACAUUGUGUUUCCAAGUUAUCUUUCAAACUCAAAUAUACAGAAGUUUUCAUAUAUAUAACUUUGCCAGUAUAUUGUGUUUCCAGAGCAUGAAACUAAUAGUAGCUCAAAUAUAAGUACCAAGUACAUACAUAUACAUAUAAUUUAUAACAUAAGUGAAUGUACCCCUAGACUAGUUACAAAGGCCUGUAUCUAACUUCAAAUUUGCACUGGUGCACUUUGAAAAGACAACUCUCCAACUAUUACCUUACUAAUGGCGUUGAUGUUGGUCAAAUCCCAGUAAAUUUCAUAGGUCAAAUUCUAGUAAAUGGAUUUGACCUAUGAGAUGUACAAAAUAUUGCACACUAUUUCAAAUGCGAAAUUAUAAGCACAACACAAAAUUAUACAUACACAUAUUUGCACGAACAUUCAUAUUUAGAGAUACAAAUAUCUAAUGAUAGAUACAUACAUACAUACAUGCAUAUAUACACACGCACAUACAUAUGUAUAUAUAUAUGCAUACAUAUAUAUGCUUAUAUAUUCUAACAAAUAUAUAUGUUUAUAUACAAGUGCACAUGCAUGGACAUAGGUAUAUAAUGUCAUAUACAAACAGAUAAAAUAUAUACAUAAAAUUUUUAGUGCAGGUAAAAAACAGCAAAUAUAUAAGCACAUCUGUGUAUGGACACACACACACACCCAAAUAUACGUAUAAAUGUAGAGACAUAUACCCAAAUAAGAAUACACAUAUAUAAAAGCACUCGCAUAUGCUCAAAAACAAAUAAACAUGUGCUUUAAUUAUCUUAUUCAGUUGUCUCAUUUAAUUUGUUAUAAAAACGUUUACAAGCCAUCAUCAUCAUCAUCAUCAUCAUCAUCAUCAUCAUCAUCAUUAAGCUCUCUCCACAAAUGCUGUUAUCAUCGUUGCCAUUAACAUUAUCAGCAUUGUUGUAAUUAUCAUCAUCUUUGUUUUCGUCGUCAUCAAUAUUGUAAACAACAUCAUUUUAUGCUUGCUUUCCAUGGUUUGAAUGAAUGUACUGAGAAGUACUUAGGCAGGUCAUAGCAAGGAGAGGUGGAGAACUCAUCUUAUUUGUGUUUCAUUACACCAGCAAGUUUAUAAAAAUGUACUGUGUUCUGCUUAUAAUUUCAAAUUUGAAAAAGUGUGCAAUAUUUACUAGAAUUUGACGUAUUAAAUUUACUAGGAUUUGCCCAAUAUCAACACUAUAAAAUGUACUGACUGCUCUCUGUUUGGGGCACAAGUGCUUGAGAAGAUUCAUGUACUUGACAAGACAAAAGAACACUCACAACCUCAUAAUUUACUGUGUGCUAGCUGUAUUUACUGUCAUACCAGAAGUAGAAAGAUUGGAGUACAAAUGAACUGAGAGAAAAACUGAACAAAAGAGGAAUCAGGUGUGGAGAACAAGACAGUAUUGGCACAGGCAAGCAAUGCAUAGGAAGAACAACAUGUGAUUAAAGAAGUAUUUAUAUGAACUAAGAGAAUGAAAUUUGUGAAAGAUGAAAACUUGGAACAAUGUGGAAGAGACUGAUGUUAAGAUGUUGCUUAUUAUGGAGGAUAAGAUAAAUGACAACAUGAUUGCCUACAUGUAGUCUGGAAGACAUUCUUUCCACAUGUGCAGGAAACUUUUGCUUGAUGUGUAGCAAGAGGGGUAACUCUCAUUCAUUAAGUAUUACAUCAGAGGAACUGCUAGCUAGAUAACAUGUAGCCUUGAUUUUUAUCUGCUUCACUCACUCAGUGUCGUUACAUGCAUACAUACAUACAUACAUACAUACAUACAUACAUAUGUAUAUAUAUAUAUAUAUAUAUAUAUAUAUAUAUAUAUAUAUAUAUAUAUAUAUAUAUAUAUAUAUAUAUAUAUAUAUAUAUAUAUAUAUAUAUAUAUAUAUAUAUAUAUAUAUAUAUAUAUAUAUAUAUAUAUAUAUAUAUAUAUAUAUAUAUAUAUAUAUAUAUAUAUAUAUAUAUAUAUAUAUAUAUAUAUAUAUAUAUAUAUAUAUAUAUAUAUAUAUAUAUAUAUAUAUAUAUAUAUAUAUAUAUAUAUAUAUAUAUAUAUAUAUAUAUAUAUAUAAAACAUGCACAUAUGCAUACAUAUAUAUAAUACAUAAACAUGCAAAUGGUCAUUUAUGUAAGCAUGAAAGACCUGCAAACUGCAUGUGACAGAUGUGAUAGUUCCUAUGUCCAGUGGCAGAGAUGCAUCACCAAUACUCUUCUUACCAGACUUUCAGAGAAGCAACAGGAUCAGAUAUUUUAACCAGAACCAUAUGCAAAAUUGAUUGGUAAAAUCAGUCAAAACGAACCUAUAACACUUUAUUAUACCUAUAUAUCUAUCUGCCUGACUGCCUGUCUAUUUGCCUAUUUACCUACCUACUUUCUUAGCUAUUUAUCUAUCCAAUCUAUCUAUCUAUCCCUCUAUUCAGCCAUCUAUCUGUCUAUACAUAUCAUUUAAAUAAAUAUAUGGUUUCAUGUACUACUUAACAAAACAAAAAAAACAAAUCCAUGUGUAUAUGUAUACACACACAUGCAUUCAUAAACAUAUGCACACUUGGGUGUGUGUGUGCAUAUAUAUAUAUAUAUAUAUAUAAUAUAAAUAAUAUAUAUAUAUACCCACUAAAACCGAGACAAGACCAACACAGAAAUACCCACUAAACCCUACAGAGAAUACCCAUCAGAUCCCGAAAGCUACACAGAAUACACCCCUACGAAUGCUAGAUACACAAAACCCCACUCAGGAGAAAGUAUACCCGCCUAACACUACAGAGAAUAUUCCACUAAACACACACACACACAGAAUGUCGUCGAGAGACGCACAAAUAUACCGAACUGAACACUUGAUAGUAUUAAAAUAAAAACUCCCAAAGAACACUACACAAUAAAAAAAUCUGCCUAAUCUUAACCUGGAGAGAUGAAAUUGUUGAUAUAUAGAUAACAGGAGAGAUGAAAUUGUUGAUAUAUAGAUAAUUGGACACACAAAAUGUAAACAACAUGAAAUAUGAAGACAAACUUGCUUAUGCAAACAACGCAAGAAACAAAUGGAAAACAAGACAUAUAACAUAAAAUCGACCCUUCAUCAGUUGUUGGCUGUUCCUCCACAUUUUGAGCAUUUAACAACAAUAUGAGGCUUCGAAAUGCAAGUUGCUUCAGUGAACCAAAAUAAAAUUUGGGAUUUGCAGAGGGUGAAAUUUAGUAACAAAAACUGGACAGUGGAGACAUACAACAAACCAAAUGAAAACAAACAUGAAGGGCCAUUAGGCCAGGAGAGGUAAGGUAUUGAAGACUGGAGGAAUAUUGUCUUUGACAAGAGAAAAGAUAGAAGAGGAGACAGAUAAGAAUGUGUCUGGUCUUUAUGACAGACUGAAGGAAAAGAAAGAUGAUCAUAUGAAGAAAAAGAAAGAUGGAUGAUGGUCACAUGUGAGCAACAAGAGAGAGUAAAGGAGAAAGAAGGAGAGAGAGAGAGACAGGCAGAAAAGGGUGAAGAGGAGAAAAAGAAUUAGAGAGAGGAAGAGAGAGAACAGUACAGGGUAGAGUCGCAUCAAAAUUAUUAAAAUAAACUUACUUGGAAAUGGAUGCAUGGCAUUCAAUGAUAUAAUAAUACAAAUAACAUAUAUAUAUAUAUAUAUAUAUAUAUAUAUAUAUAUAUAUAUAUAUACAUACAUAUAUAUAUACAUAUAUAUAUAUACAUAUAUAUAUAUAUACAUAUAUAUAUGUAUAUAUAUAUACAGACUUAGAUGCACAUAUAUAUAUAUAUAUGUAUAUAUAGGGGUAAAGGACGUUACAAAAUGUAAACAAUAUAAAAUAUGAAGGCAACAUGAAACAUGAAGACAAACUGGGGUAUGCAAACUAUGAGAAAAGCAUGGAAAAUAAGACAAGUAACUUAAAGAAAGACCCUUCAUCAGUUGUUCAGAUAUUGGCUUUUGGCAACUAAAUAUUUCUGUGUCUAUAAAAAGCAGGGUGAACAAAUAAAUGCAUAAGAAUAUUGAUGUUGUAGGGUAGUGAAUAACUGUUGUUGAAUGAAGAAUAUCUGCAGAGAAUGGUGUAAAAUAGGGUAAAAAUAAGUUGUUGAAUAUAUGUGAUGUUGAAUCGAAAGAAAGGCAAUCCACAGAUAAAUGACUGAGGCUAUCUGAAUAUUAAAGUGUGCUGGAGGAAAAGAUAUUCAGAGGCGAGCUGGCAGAAAUGUUAGCACGCCGGGUGAAAUGCUUAGCGGUAUUUCGUCUGCCGCUACGUUCUGAGUUCAAAUUCCGCCAAGGUCGACUUUGCCUUUCAUCCUUUCGGGUUCGAUAAAUUAAGUACCAGCUACGCACUGGGGUCGAUAUAAUCGACUUAAUCCGUUUGUCUGUCCUUGUUUGUCCUCUCUGUGUUUAGCCCCUUGUGGGUAGUAAAGAGUAAAUGAGGUUCUAUGCGAAAAAUGUGCCUGACUUAUUUGGCGAAAAGAACCAGGAAGACAUGGCAGUAAGUGAUGUGUGAAUUCAUAUAGUGUUAGAUUUCAAUGUGCUGUUCAUGAAACUUUAAGAUUGUUGAAGAUUUGACAUAGGACCCGAUGACCAUCAUAUGUUAGCCUUAGGCAGAUGAUGAUGAUUAUGUGGAGGAAUAUUAAAAGUCAUGAUGAAAAAUUGGAUAAGAGGUAAUGUGAAGGUGGAGUCUGGAGAAUGAUGCAGUGAUGGAAGAUAAGUUAAAUAGGACUAAUUUUUAUGAUAUUGAAAAUGAAAAUCUUGAUGCGGCUGAUGAUGAUUAUGAACUCUCACUGAAAAAUAAUGGAUGGCACAAUUCCCUUUUAUGCCUUCCUCCUAAAAAUAUAGCAAAUUGGAGCAUCUUUAUGAAAUUAAAUCAGUAUAUUUGAAAAUGUUUUGAAUCCUAAAAUAUUGAUAAAAAUUUAAAUAAAAUGAAGAAAAUCCCUUAAAAAAUCCCAAUAUUUUACCUUACUAAAAUUCAAAUAGAACAUAAAAAUCUAUGAAAGCUUAGUUAUAAACUAAAAUAAAUUAUAAAUAUUUAAUAUUGAUUUCACAUUGCCUUCAAAAAUGAAAUAUAAUUACUUUAUUUUGCACUUAGUUGAUUAAUAUAUUUCAGAUAAUUAUACAAAAUCAAUUUGAACACAGAGAGAAAGUUUGGGGAUCAUUAAAAUAAAAAGUGAUUAAAAUUUACAAUUUAAGGAUGUUUGUCGAUGUUUUAUUUUGCAUUUAAAGUUUUGCUAAAAAUUUUUAGGAAAACUAUGACAGGAAUGGUAGUAAGAAUGUGUAUUUACAUUAAAAGUUGGGUCAAGUAAUUGGUUUUGAAUUUUGAAUCAUAACAACAGCAUAUGAACAUACAAACAUGCAUACAUACAUGCAUACAUACAUACAUACAUACAUACAUAGAAAUAUAUAUUUAUAGUGAGAGAGACAGAAUGAGAGAGAGAGAGGGAGGGAAGGAGAGAGAGACAGGCAGACAAAUAUGGAAUAUAUUAGCCUUGGACACAAUGGUAUCUUCAAAACAGCAUGUAUAAUUUCAUGCAUAUAUACAUACAUUAAUGACUUCACUUCACAAAUACAAGGUCCUGAAUUUCAAUACAUAUAUUAAUAUAUUUUGAAUAUUUACAUAUUUACUCUCUCUCUCUCUCACACACACACGUACAUAUACAAUAUAUAUAUAUAUAUAUAUGUUGAUAUAGUGGGAUCCAAUCGAUCAUGGCAAAACAGUUGAUUAACCUCUACCCUAUGCAGGCUUGUAUAAAAAAUGUGAAGUAAAAACCAAUAGAUCAAUAAAUUUUAUCAAUACAUGUAUCAAAUAACACUUUGGUACAUGGAUUAACUAAUAAUGGCAAAGAAUUUCACAACAUGAGCAACCUGCAACCAAACAUGAGUUGCAUGGUGUUACUAUGUAAAACAUCUAAUGUUGCAUGAUACAGACUAUUCAUUUUUGAAACAUAUGUAGUUCAUAAUUUCUUCUAUUUCUCUCAUUCAUUAAUAUUUUUUACUUCUUUCAAUCCUUAGACAAUUGCCAUGAUGGUGCACCAUUUUGAAAGAUUUUAGCGAAAUGGAUUAAUCCACUACACUUAUGUUCUUUUAAGCCUAGUACUUAGUCAAUUGGUCACUUAUGAGGAGACAAAACUCGGUUUGUUUAUGGGGAUGUAAACAAAUCAACAAAAGACAUAUAUGCACACAUACAUACACAAACAUAUAUAUUCUUUCAUUCUGUUAUUCUUUUAUUUGUUCAGUCAUUACUGUGGUCAUGAUGGGGCACCGUUCUGAAUUUUUAGUUGAAUGAAUCGACUCAAAUAAUAAUAAAUUUUGUUAAGUCUGGUACUUACUCUAUCAGUCUGUUUUGCUGAACGCUAAGUUAUGAAGACACAGAUGCACCAGCUCCAGAUGCCAAACAGUGGUGGGGGGAACAACACAAGCACAAAGACUCACACACAUCAUAUACAUAUGUAAGCGAUGGGAUUCUUUCAGUUUUCAUUAACCAAAUCCACUCACAAUGCUUUGGUAGGCCCGAAGCUAUAGUAGAACACACUUGCCCAAAGAGCCACACAGUGGGACUGAACUCGGAACCACUGGUUGGGCAGCAGGCAUUUUACCAGACAGCCACACCUGCAUUUAAUAUGUGUGUGUGUGUGUGUUUUGUUAUAUAUACAUAUGCACACACAGUGGGCUUCUUUCAGUUUCUGCCUACCAAAUCCAUUUAUAAAGUUUUGGUCGGCCUGGGGUUACAAAAGAAGACAUGGGUCAAGAUUCGAUAGUAGGACCAAACCAAGGACCACGUAUUUUUGAAGCAAACUUCUAACACAGUCAUGCCGGGACUUAUUCUUUGUAAGACUUAUUCUAUCGGUCUCUUUUGCCGAACCGCUAAGUGACGGGGACGUAAACACACCAGCAUCAGUUGUCAAGCAAUGCUAGGGGGCCAGCACAGACACACAAACACAUACACACACACACAUAUAUAUAUAUAUAUAUAUAUAUAUAUAUAUAUAUUAUACAUAUAUACGACAGGCUUCUUUCAGUUUCCGUCUACCAAAUCCACUCACAAGGCAUUGGUCGGCCUGGGGCUAUAGCAGAAGACACUUGCCCGAGAUACCACACAGUGGGACUGAACCCGGAACCAUGUGGUUGGUUAACAAGCUACUUACCACACACACAUAUAUAUAUAUAUAUAAAACCAAUGAAAAAGUAAAAAUUUGCAACUGCUGAGUUGAUGAUAUAUUGCCCGAUUGCCAACUUUUAUCAUUGAAUAUUUAUAUUCUGGUUUUUUAUUUUUUUGUAACACCAAGUGAAAGUCAACUUGGUAAAUAGUAAAUAGGUGAGCUUCAUUUGCGCCUUGCAGAAAUAGUUAAUGUAACAUACUGCUAUGCUAUUUAUUUAUUUUUUUUUAAUAAUUAAUCUAGGAAUGAAAACUCACAGAAAUAUCAUUGUGCAUCAUCAUCAACAUCACCAUCAUCAUCAUCAUAUCAUCGUUGUUAUGUUCAUUAUUUUUAUUGUAAUCUGCAUCAUCAUCACCAUUCUACCACCAUCAUCAUUACUAUAAUCACUAUCAUCACAACCUUUACCACCACUACCACCACCACUGAUAUAAUCAUCAUCUUCAUUGUUGUUGUCGUUGUUGUUGUGGCAAAGCAUGAUCGUCUCAUUUAUUCUAGUUCAAAAAAAAAUCCACCACUGUCCAAUUUACAUUGCAUCUUUCUGUCUUAGUUAAAAUAUAAACGAAAUGCUGAGAUGACGAGUAAUUAAGAGAGAUCAUAGUUCUUUAGAUUUAUUUUUAUUCUCGUUAGAAAGUAAUUGGUUUUUCAGCUUAAUCAAGAAAAAUCAGCCUCAUUAUCACAGUAAUCAUGAUGAUUUCUGAACAGACAUUAGAAAUUAUCUCUUAUAUUAUUAAGUGGAUUAAGACUAGGACAAUUACUAUGGUUGAAUUUGUAGAGAAAGAUGGAAAAAAGAAACCAAAAAAAAAAAAUUAUUUUGGUGUUUGGUUAAGUCCAUUUGCAUCUAAGUUCAAAUUCUCAACAUCUGAUGCUGUUGGCUCAGAUUUGACAAAAUUUGACUAACACUUCAUGAUCAUGCAUAACAUUUGGAAAGCCAGUAGAACAACAUCCUGAUUCAUACAACUUGAUUAGUGAAGGAUGAUCCUGGUUGGUUAAACCAGUGUAUUCAGCCUGGGAUGUCCAUGGUAAGGAACCAUUAGUUAAUGUCAUGCAAAUCAUAUACAACUCCAUCAAACACACACACACACUCUCUCUCUCUCUCUCUCUCUCUCUCUCUCUCUCAUUAAUGACAUUAGUGACUGUAAGAAGAGUGCCAUAGAGUCUUAGUUUAGCUAGAUGUGUUUUCAAAGCGAUAUUCAAAACAUGUGAAUAUAAGCACAACUAAGCUUAAAUUCUAGAUGAUUGGUAAAGUUCCAGGGUGUGGACCUGCAAAGAAGCACAGUUUCUCCACAUAGCAUUUAAGAAAUAACUCUAGUGAUUAUUAAAUAAGCUUUGCCUAUUAUUCAUUCAAAACUUAAUAAACUAAGAUACAAUAUAUUAGUGUAUAUCUUAUGAACCAAAAUGCAGGGAGGAUUUUAUAUAAUAAUAAUAAUAAUAAUGAAAUUAUUGUAUACAGUGCUUGGGUGCACCACAACUUGUCAGAAAGUGCAUAUAAAGUAUAUGCAGUAAUGCACAAAUGUCUGGAAAGUUUUUAACAAUGUAUGAGUCAGAUAUGUGCUUGCAUGUGUAUGGAGGGGAGAAAAUCAGGUGUAGUGUUGGCGAAUCUCAGAAAGCAUGGACGUUUUGAAGGAUGCAGUGCUCUGACAACUAACAACUGAUGCCAGUAGUCUGUUCCAUGCUUCAGCAACUCUCAGUGUGAAAAAAUGUUUCCUAAAGUCAUGGGAGCUGUGCUGUUUUCUGACUUUGUAAAUAUGUCCAUGGGUGUUAGAUGGGUGGAGUUUGAAAAGGUGCUCAGAGUUAUUGUUUGUUAUAAAAAUCGUAAUUACCAUCAUUACCAUCAUUGCUAUUAUAAUAAUUAGAAGACAGUGGUCUGGUUGAAUCAUGAGCACACAAUGCAAAAUGCUUAGUGGAAUAUUUAUUGUUUAAUUAUUUUAGAUAUAAUUUAUGAUAUUUAAAUGAAAUGCGAUAUUUCUUUUCCAUUAACUUCUUCUAGAAUGGUGACUGUCUUUGACUUGCUUCCUUUAUUUCCACUUUCCAUUCCAUGACAGAUAUAAAUAACAGUAAAGCAGUGGAAUCUAUGAAAUCAGCUAUCCACUGCUCAUCUGGAACUUAUAUAUAUAUAUAUAUAACCAGCACUAUUACAUUUCAUUGAAAUUUGUAGUUUUGGAUUGCUAAGCAAGAAGUCAACAUUAAUAUUAUAGCCAUCACCAUCCUCCUCAACCCAAUAAUAAUAAUUAUUAUCAACAACAUUAUUCAGGCAUGGCUGUGCAGUUUAGAACUUUGCUUCCCAACCACAUGGCUUUGGGUUCAGUCCCACAAUACAGCAACUAUGCAAGUCUAUUCAACUACAGCCAUAAGCAUAACAAAGCCUCAUGGAUGGAUUUGGUGAUAGAAACUGAAAGAAGCGCAUUGUGUGCAUGUGUGUGUGUUUGUGUAUAUACAUAUACAUGUAAGUAUGGAUGGAUGUAAUGUAUGUACAUAUGCAUACAUUUAUGUAUGUAUGUGUGCAUGGAUGUCUCUUUGUUGUGCUCUCCACCACUGCUUGAGAACCAGUGUUGGUUUUAUUCCAUGCCCAUAACUUAGUGGUUUGGUAAAAAGAGACAGAUAGAAUAUGUACCAGGCUUAAAAAAAUUACUGAGGUAAAUAUGUAUAAGUAUAAAUAUUAUAAAUAUAUAAUAAUAGAUAUAAUAGUUUAAAAGUUUCGAAUUAAGUUUCUAAACCAUCUUAUGAUUGUUUCACAGAAGUUCUGUCCCUAUAAUGGAAUCCUAUAUUCAUAAGCAUUUAUAGACAACUCUUCUGCACUUCAGAGAUAUAAAAUGUGAAAUUUGUAUAAUUUAUCGAAUGGUAGUGUUUUAAACAUGAAGUAAUAUGGGAAAAUUGUGUUUGUUUGAAAUAUAAAAUAUAAAUUAAAAAUUAAUGCAUUUGAUUUUUGAUAAGUACACUUUAGUAUGAGAGUCUUUAAAUCCAUAUAUGCUUCCUUGGUAAGUCUUCUGUAAUUAUCCAUAAUAGUUAUAUGUAAUAUCCAUUAUAUUGUCCUGUAUUCCAAAUAUAGUUCAUAGACUUAGAUAAUAUAGAAAAAUAGAAUCCUAUAUUGAUAAGUAUUUAUAGAUAACUCUUCUGCUCCUCAGAAAUAUCAAAUAUGAAAUUUGUAUAAUUUAACAAAUGGUAGUUUUUUUUUUAAAGUAUGAAGUAUUAUGGGAACAUAGUUUUUGUUUGAAAUAUACAUUAAAAAUUAAAAAUUACUGCUUUUGAUUUUUGGUAAGUACACUUUAGUAUGAGAAUCUUGAGAUUCAUAUAUGCCUCCUUGGUAAGUCUUCUGUCGUAAUCCAUAAUAAUUAAGUAUAAAUCCAUUAUAUUGUCCUGUAUUUCAAAUAUAGUUAAUAGACUUAAAUAUUGUAAAAUAAAAUUACAUAUGAAAAUAUAUGUGAAAUUUUUAUAAUUUCUGCGAAACUAUGCUUUACAAACUUAAUUCAAAACUUUUAAACUAUCAUAUUUAUUAUUAUAUAUUUAUACUUUACAUAUUUAUAUAUAUUUAUAUAUAUCUAUAAUUAUAAUACAACUAUUAUUUUACACACGUAUGUGUCUUUCUUAAGAAUUUUCUAAUAUUGAUUUCCUGAUAUUAAUAAUAAUAUAUUAUAAAUUAUUUAUAAUCGCUGAUAUUAAAUAUAUAAAUACUUUAAUAGCAUUAAUACUUUGAUACAAUAGAGCACACAAUAUUAAUUCAGUUUAUAAUAGUCUCAUUGAAUAUAUUUAACUACAGAUUUAUAUAUUUAUACACACACACACACACGCAGUAAUCCCUUCAUUAUCGUGGGUGUUAUGUUCCAAAACAUCCCACAGAAAUAAUUAAAAUCUGAAAAUGAUAAAUACCUAUCGCUUGCUGAAACAAAAAUAUACUGAGGAGUCUGCAAUAUAAAUUUACAUAUGUUAUCCAAAAAAAUUUGCGAUGUACUGAAUAUAUACAUAUACAUAUAUAUAUACAUAUACAUAUAUAUAUAUAUACAUAUAUAUAUAUAUAUAUAUAUAUAUAUAUAUAUAUAUAUAUAUAUAUAUAUAUAUAUAUAUAUAUAUAUAUAUAUAUAUAUAUAUAUAUAUAUAUAUAUAUAUAUAUAUAUAUAUAUAUAUAUAUAUAUAUAUAUAUAUAUAUACAUAUAUAUAUAUAUAUAUAUAUAUAUAUAUAUAUAUAUAUAUAUAUAUAUAUAUAUAUAUAUAUAUAUAUAUAUAUAUAUAUAUAUAUCUAUAUAUAUAUAUACAUAUAUAUACAUAUAUAUACAUAUAUAUCUAUAUAUAUAUAUAUAUACAUAUACAUAUAUAUAUAUAUAUAUAUAUAUAUAUACAUAUACAUAUAUACAUAUACAUAUAUAUAUAUAUAUAUAUAUAUAUAUAUACAUAUAUAUAUAUAUAUAUAUAUAUAUAUAUAUAUAUAUAUAGAGAGAGAGAUAUAUAUAUAGAGAGAGAGAGAGAUAUAUGUAUAUGCGUAUAUAUACAUUAUAUUAAGUAUGUUUUAAAAUGUAUAGUCUACUUAUGGAAUGCUCAUAGAGAGCCAAUGCAAAAAAAUACAGAGUAGGGAAAAUUGAAAACACAAAUCAUUGGCAGUCAAACAGAUUCCUGAGCAAAUAUAUGAAAAUAUUCAAUCAAAAUAGUUGAACCAUAUAUAUUUAUACAUAUCAACAGCAAUCAUGCAUGCAUAGGCGUAAAGAUUCUCCAAGUGUAUAAAGAAUAAAACUAAACAUGCAUAAAAAUAUAGAAAAAAUAUAAAGAUAUAUAAAAACACUUAUAAGUUUACAUAUAAAUAAUAUUUGCAUGUAAGGAGUUAUGCGUGAUAAAUAUAGGAGGUGCAGAAAAAAUAAGAGGUUAAUAAAUAAAAUAUACAGAGUGCUUCAAAAGC
rnacentral:lncRNA from 1 species